ensembl:lincRNA
AUGGCUGAGGGCCUCGAAGCUGUCUUACAACGUCAAAAGGCAACUCCCGUCUCAGGAGCCAGUGGCAGAAAAGAAAAACCUGCCAGAUUCGACCCGCGUCUGACGGUUCAGGGACUUCAUGAAUUCCGGCUCUGUUCACCUCCCCGCCCUGCUUUUGCCCACAAACAGAGCUGUCCCCGUUUCUCCCGGCCAACAGCGGGGACCCGUUGGGACCCGUGGAUUGCGGGCCCCGAUGGGCUUCAGAAUAAAGUGGAGCUCGGGCCAAGCUACGUCCGGCCUUCGGCUUUAUUUCCCAGUUUGGUGGGGGCGAAGAGGAGGGAAGUAUAUUGGAUUGGUUUGGAGAGAGGAGCUGUUGAGGUUAAAAGGCUGAUGGAAAGCCCAAUUUUUUCAUUUUUUAUUACAGAUCUUUAAUUUGGAGGAUUCGCUUUUAGACAUGAUUCAGCUAUUCUUUUCCUUAGUCACACACACACGUUUGAGACACUUGAAGUCUCAAAACUGACCCCCAAAGAAAGACCUGGAACUGUAAUCUCAGAAGGUGCUCACGCCUUCGUGUGUGUGCGUGUGUGUGUGUGUUUGGUAAAUUAUAGGUUAAUAUACUAAUGACGAAUAAGUCUUGCGGAUUUGCAGUCUAUUUAUUCCACACAAAGCUAUUUGAUUUAAAACAGGCCAGAUUUAUAUUGCACUGUAUGUUAACUAAAAUUGAAAAUAAAAUAAAAUGGGCUUAAUUUGAAGUUCUGAACUUUUCAAUAUGGAACAGUCCCUUAAUAAAAGGUAUCUAGUGUGAUUGUCUAUCUAUUAAGUUUAUAUUGUCCGAGGAAACUCGUUUCCUAAAGCGUAGGUUUAGGCUUAUGUUUAUUGAUUUUAUUAAUUCCCUUUAUGUAGGUAAAUGCAUACACUGACCUUAAGAAGCAGCUGGGUUAAUGAAAGAGAGGACUUGGGCAUGAAUCCUGGAUCAGCCAUUUACCGGAAGUGCAACCUUGGCUAAAUUACUCUCUGACCUAGGUUUCUCCAUAAAACAGACCUAAUAAACAGCCAGCUUACAAGGCUUCUAUGAGAAAUGGAAAGAUGAUGCCGCAUUUGUGAUAUAUAGUACCUUAGUGGGGAAUCCUAGGUAAUCAUGUAACCAUUUCUGCUGCCUGAUACCAAAGCAAGUUUCCUUUUCCAGAGAAAGAUUGUCUCUAUCCCUGAAGGUGUUCAGGAGGAGCAUGAGUGAGGGAUGGUUGUCUGGAGGGCUUGGGUUUUUCUUUACGAAGGCAGGGAAGGAAAUCAAAAGGUCUCUGGAAGGUCUUUUUCAGGUUUACAGCUUUGGAAUUCUUAAGUUGGACAAAGACAACAAGAGGAGGCACAGAGGUUUGGUCUGUGCUGUGUCCCAUAACAGUCAGUAAACAUGAAAUAAAUUAACCUUUCUUGUUCUAAGAAUCUACCUUUGGUUCAUUUUUACCUUUCAAAAUAUUUAUUGUUGGGGACGCCUGGGUGGCUCAGUUGGUUUGACGACUGCCUUCGGCUCAGGUCAUGAUCCUGGAGUCCCGGGAUCGAGUCCCGCAUCGGGCUCCCAGCUCCAUGGGAAGUCUGCUUCUCUCUCUGACCUUCUCCUUGUUUAUGCUCUCUCUCACUGUCUCUCUCUCAAG